CUACGUGCCAGCAGCCGCGGUAAUACGGAAGGUUCGGGCGUUAUCCGGAUUUAUUGGGUUUAAAGGGAGCGUAGGCCGGAGAUUAAGUGUGUUGUGAAAUGUAGACGCUCAACGUCUGACUUGCAGCGCAUACUGGUUUCCUUGAGUACGCACAACGUUGGCGGAAUUCGUCGUGUAGCGGUGAAAUGCUUAGAUAUGACGAAGAACUCCGAUUGCGAAGGCAGCUGACGGGAGCGCCACUGACGCUUAAGCUCGAAAGUGCGGGUAUCGAACAGGAUUAGAUACCCUGGUAGUCCGCACGGUAAACGAUGGAUGCCCGUUGUCAGGCUGUUUCAGCCUGGUGACCAAGCGAAAGCAUUAAGCAUCCCACCUGGGGAGUACGCCGGCAACGGUGAAACUCAAAGGAAUUGACGGGGGCCCGCACAAGCGGAGGAACAUGUGGUUUAAUUCGAUGAUACGCGAGGAACCUUACCCGGGCUUGAA
rnacentral:rRNA from 1 species